rnacentral:lncRNA from 1 species
CAGGCAUAGCCAGCUGAAAUUCUGAAAGUGGAUUAUGCAUGGAGUAAUGCUGUUCUCAGGAAAUCAGUGAUUUAUUUUAUAAUCUAAAAUUUAAACGUUUUAAUAUACCUCCCAAGAAGAUACCCAGUUCAGAAAACUGCAGAGGAGCCAUGGAACUCAGCAGAAGGCCAGCUCCCUCUCUGGGAGGCCGCCUUCAGGAAACCAAUUGUCCCCCCACCUGAUUCCAAAGGAAUUACAGAAAAAUGGAAAGCCAGGAACAAAAAUCAUAAAUCAUAUUUUCAAGAUGACCUUGUAACGUUAUCCAUGGAUGUUACCUCAGACUUCAUGAUAAGCUGAGGCCCUGACACCAUGUUCCUGUCACCUUCCUGUUGUGGCCAUGAACGAUGCCUUGAGCUCAGCUGUGCCUGGAUGCUUGGACUCAGCUGCUGCAGCUCAGAGACUCUGGACGAGCCCUUCAGCAUCAGACCAUCUCUUCUGAGAUUCUGCUCAGGACUUGGGCCUGGAUGAUCUGCUGAGCUUCAGUCUCUGCCCUGCUCCCCUCAUGGAGGACCUGAUUCAUCUGGAGCCUCGGACUCCCUUUGUAGUGGUCCCUGGGAUCAGAGCAGCACUCUUGGAAGAACAGUAAAACAGACUUGUUAUUGGCAGCCCAUUAGUGCUCAGGAGAGGCGGUCUCCAGCAUGACAUCAGCCAGCGGCUCGACCCAAAUCUAGUAUUUCACCAG